CGCGUAGCUGGUCGGAUAACGACAGCGGCUACGGGAUACCCCGGGACUGUGGGAUAGUCUUGAGAACCUGGGCGAGGCGGCGAAGUUAGCACCUCGAGACGAACGGCUGACGGGC
rnacentral:sRNA from 12 species